rnacentral:lncRNA from 1 species
AAGAGACAGGAGAAUCAGGGACCACGAGAGCCCGUGCAAGAUCCGGAGCACAGGGGCUUCCCUGGGUCCCAGGCUUUCUGCAGGACUCACCCCCAACUACCCCGGUGUCCUCCUUCCAGCCAGCCUCCCCGCGGGUCCUGAGAGGAGAGUUUCCUAAAGAGAAGGAAGAAACUCGGACUUCCCUCCUGUUAUGUUCGGGCUCCUCUGUGAGAAAGAGGAGGAGAGAGGAAAAUGAAGGGCCCAUUCUCUGUCCCCAGAGAGCCCCCAGGAAUGUUGGGAAGAUCUGCAAGGAUGAGCCUGAACCUAGAGGAUCCUGGUUCUUAGGCCUUCGAAUAUACCACCCGCCCUCUGGGGUCUCUGGCUUGCAGAGGGCAGAUUGACUUCUCAGCCUCCAUAAUUGCAUGAGUCAAUACCAUACAAUAAAGCUCUUUCUA